AUGAGAUCCAGUCACACAGCUGCAGUGGGUGGCAGAGAGGAGAGCUUAGGCACACAGGCAGGACGCAUCUUUUCCACCCCACCUCACUGCCCUAGACGGUCUUCAGCCCAGACCCAGGGUGGCAGGUAAGCAGGCUCCACUCUGGAAGAAGCUGGUCCCGGAGGCUCUACGUCUAGUCUCUCCCCCAAGGAAGAACUUCUCAGGAGCAAACAUGGCCCUACUGUGGCUGUGAGAUCUGUUGCUGUCACUGGACUGAAGACACCAGCUGCCACCUACAGGAGUGAAGAUCCAGAAGCAGUGAAGCAAGGCUGCUGGGGUCUCUCCUGAACCUCUCUGAGCAGCAUCUUCCUUACUACACAAUAGCCACCAGGUUCCAGAUGCCAUCAGGAUGCUGGCCAGGCUUCCCUGGAUUGAAGACCCCACCAAUGUGUCCUGGAGCUCCGUUUCCCCAGAGACCCACCCUACUAGGGAAAGAGAGAGGCAGAUUGGGAGUAUGGACUGACCAGUCAACGUCCAUGUUCAGCGGGGAAGCAAUUACAGAAGCCAGACCUUCCACCUUCUGCAACCCACAACGACCCUGGGUCCAUGCUCCCAGAGGGAUAGAGAAUGGGAAAGCUAUCAGGGGAGGGGAUGGGAUAUGGAGAUUG